CUCCGGUUGAUCCCGCCGGACCCGACUGCUAUCAGAGUGGGACUAAGCCAUGCGAGUCAACAUAGCAAUAUGUGGCAUACGGCUCAGUAACACGUAGUCAACAUGCCCAGGGGACGUGGAUAACCUCGGGAAACUGAGGAUAAACCGCGAUAGGUCAUCACUUCUGGAAUGGGUAAUGACUUAAAUCUAUAUGGCCCCUGGAUUGGACUGCGGCCGAUCAGGCUGUUGGUGAGGUAAUGGCCCACCAAACCUGUAACCGGUACGGGCUCUGAGAGGAGGAGCCCGGAGAUGGGCACUGAGACAAGGGCCCAGGCCCUAUGGGGCGCAGCAGGCGCGAAACCUCUGCAAUAGGCGAAAGCUUGACAGGGUUACUCUGAGUGAUUUCCGUUAAGGAGAUCUUUUGGCACCUCUAAAAAUGGUGCAGAAUAAGGGGUGGGCAAGUCUGGUGUCAGCCGCCGCGGUAAUACCAGCACCCCGAGUGGUCGGGACGUUUAUUGGGCCUAAAGCAUCCGUAGCCGGUUCUACAAGUCUUCCGUUAAAUCCACCUGCUUAACAGAUGGGCUGCGGAAGAUACUAUAGAGCUAGGAGGCGGGAGAGGCAAGCGGUACUCGAUGGGUAGGGGUAAAAUCCGUUGAUCCAUUGAAGACCACCAGUGGCGAAGGCGGCUUGCCAGAACGCGCUCGACGGUGAGGGAUGAAAGCUGGGGGAGCAAACCGGAUUAGAUACCCGGGUAGUCCCAGCUGUAAACGAUGCAGACUCGGUGAUGAGUUGGCUUAUUGCUAACUCAGUGCCGCAGGGAAGCCGUUAAGUUUGCCGCCUGGGGCGUACGGUCGCAAGACUGAAACUUAAAGGAAUUGGCGGGGGAGCA
rnacentral:rRNA from 1 species